CAAAACUCCACUUCCAGGUAUAUACCCUUGAAUUGUUCAUCUGUAAAAGCUUAGGAAAUGGCAACCCACUCCAGUAUAAAGUGAGCGAUAAAUUGAAACCAUACUUGCAACAUGCGGGGGGCGCCCUGCAGAAAGAGAGAAGCAGUGGAACUUCGCUCAGCAAAGCCGAGGGGUCCCGAGGAGAGGUGAGCCUGCUGUCCACCAAGCCAGCGCCUCUGCGAGCCAGAGACAAUGAGACACUACACGGGUUCCAUCUAAGUACUUCCGCUUUAUUGCUGCAAGCUCUUGAUUUAUAUAGGCAAGCAGGGGGUUUUGCAAGGGACUUUCUAUAGUUGCACCAAUCAUGUUAAAGGUCAAAUCGUCAUGUGCCAUAGUUGCACCAAUCAUGUUAAAGGUCAAAUCAUAAUAUGCCAGAGUUGCACCAAUCACGUUAAAGGUUAAAAAUGUCUUGUGCCAUAGUUGCACCAAUCACGUUAAAGGUCAAAUCAUAAUAUGCCAUAGUUACACCAAUCACGUUAAAGGUCAAAUCUGCAUUUUCAAGACUUGUUGUCUCCCCUCAAGUUUGUCCGCACUGUUUGUUCCUUGUAUGAAGGGUGCUCUCAGGGUUGGAUGAGGGAAAGGUCGUGUGAUCUGGUCUCCCUGCCUGGGCUGAGUCUCCUGGAGCUCAUCUCAAAACCACACCUCCCCCAGGAUGCUGUACUGUGUGAGAGCAGUCCAUGUGAAGCUGCCCCUAGAGUCCAGCACGGCCACAGACUCUAGAGACUGUGAAGGGGCCGCUGGCUUUCUUUACACAUUUGCUCUAGCAGCCCUGCUGACCUGAUCUCCUGGGACUGACCAGACCUAGGUCAGAGACUCAGAGCAGUAGGACCUGGGCCUCUCCACAUGACGGCUGCCCUCAGACACCAGACGAGUACAUGGAGGAUAAUGAAGAUUCAGAGACAGUGAGCAAGAAUACUGAGAUGUCAGACAAUUCUCUAAUCAGCUCUUUGGAGAAUGGCAAAAAUGUCAUCAGUGAUGAUGCAAAAGACCAGGAGGAGCAAGUGUGAACGUGGGGCCUGAGAUGAAAAGGCUCUGAUCUGAAUCCCUGAAUCCCUGAAGACCUGGACCUGGACCCCAGAGGCGGUGGAGCCCACACAGCACCAGGAGCCUCAUCUGGACCAGAUCAGGGGAGGCCUCACUGCUGCUCUCCUGAGGGCCUCGUGUAGUACGGCUUCAGUUGUUUUGUCGUGUAGAUUUAGCGUUAGUUUAAUCCACAGUUUUAUCUACAAGUUCUGUAUGUAUCUGUAUGUUCAAUGUUUAUAGGUAAGGUUUUUCAUUAAAUUUUUAAA
ensembl:lncRNA